AAACAGUUAGCUCAGUUGGUUAGAGCGUGGUGCUAAUAACGCCAAGGUCGCGAGUUCGACCCUCGUAGUGAUCA